rnacentral:lncRNA from 1 species
CUCCUUUCUCUUCCUCCUCCCCCUCAUCCUUGUCUUCUUCCUCCCAGAGCUGGAAGUCCUGACACACAUCAUGAUCACUAGGUAUGUUAGUGGAAGGAAGGCCUGCAAAUGUAUGGAGUCUCUUUUCUUAGGGUUAAGCUAGAAUUCAGGCCUGAACAUCCUGAUCCUCCUUAGUGCCUAGACAAAGACUCUCAAUUUGCUCUUAACCUCCUUAGUGCCUAGACAAAGACUCUCAAUUUGCUCUUAACCAUGAGCAACCCACAUGCUACCCAACCUUGUGCGCAGGACUGAACUUUAACUCAGAUCAUGCUCCUACAGGCACCCUUGGCUCAUCUGCAUAGCAAGCUCAGAUCCACACUGUACUGUGGAUCACAAAAGACCAUACAGAUAUGACUAUGAUGCCAUGAUUGCUCUUGGAAGCAGGUUUUAUCAGAGUAAGGAUCUUCUCUUAAAUGGCAGUGAUAUGUCUCAAGAGGUCAUGGGAUCACCAGACAGUCCCUGCCACCAAGAAGGCCUGAGGACAUGUUGCUUUUCAGCCUGGAUACUUUCUUUACUCAUUUGAGGAGAUGCUGUUUCCACAUUUCUGAGGAAAACAUGAAGCAGCCAGGAGAAACCCAGCAGAGACCAGCACAUGGAGAGAAGUCAAAUCAGCACGGCACAGGGCAGCAAGCUCUUACUGCAGGGCACCAUGACAGACUGAUGAAGAAAUAUAGACUGUUUCAGGCUCUAUUUGUGUUUGAUGCAUGA